CCUACGGGAGGCAGCAGUGGGGAAUAUUGCGCAAUGGGGGCAACCCUGACGCAGCAACGCCGCGUGAAGGAUGAAGGUCUUCGGAUUGUAAACUUCUUUGAUUGGGGAAGAAAAUGACGGUACCCAAGGAACAAGCCACGGCUAACUACGUGCCAGCAGCCGCGGUAAU
rnacentral:rRNA from 1 species